GGGCGAUUAGCUCAGCUGGGAGAGCAUCUCGUUUACACCGAGGGGGUCGGGGGUUCGAGUCCCUCAUCGCCCACCA
rnacentral:tRNA from 1 species